UUGGGGAUUAGCCAAGUCGGUAGAGCAGCUGACUUGUAAUCAGCAGGUUGUAGGUUCGAUUCCUAUCACCAGC
rnacentral:tRNA from 1 species